rnacentral:rRNA from 1 species
UACGGGGGGGGCAAGCGUUGUUCGGAAUUACUGGGCGUAAAGGGCUCGUAGGUGGCCAACUAAGUCGGACGUGAAAUCCCUCAGCUUAACUGGGGAACUGCGUCCGAUACUGGAUGGCUCGAGUUUGGGAGAGGGAUGCGGAAUUCCAGGUGUAGCGGUGAAAUGCGUAGAUAUCUGGAGGAACACCGGUGGCGAAGGCGGCAUCCUGGACCAAUACUGACGCUGAGGAGCGAAAGCGUGGGUAGCAAACAGG